rnacentral:lncRNA from 1 species
AUUUUCUUUCGUUCUUUCCAUUGUUCGUUUCUCUAGUGUCAAGUUAUUAACUCAAAAUGGCCAUAACCUUUAAUGGAUUUCCCAAAAUUGUGAUCGAGUUUUGUUCAAAAGUGAAAAAUCAUAUACGUAUUUAACAAAAUCCUAUAUGAAGUCGCAAGUGCGCAAGCAUUUGGGACAAUUCAUCACUAGUUGCACAAUGUUACACUUGUUGAAUGUCAAGGGAAUACAUGUUGUGGUUCGGAGGAAUUACACAGAUUUCAGGUUUCCCAAAAAUCACUUAUCUCCUUUUGACAAAAAGUAGUUCAUCACCUAGCUUCCCUCAUUCUUCUUGUUCAAAAGAAAGCUACAGCAAAAUAACAGUGAAAAACAACUUCAUACAUGCAACUCUAUCACAGUCAUACAGCUAAUGCUCAUGAUAAAUUGAUGACCAUUGAAUCCAAUGCUUGCUUCGAAAGCAAUCUCGUGCAACUGAAACCAGAUUGGCCGUCCGUUUUCAAAACCUUGUAGCUAAUAGCCGAAUGUCAACUUAUGCUUCUAUCAUUAUUGUUCAAUAUGGUGAUGAUUAGCACAAGCUUUUAAAACAAAAGCAGCAGCCAACAAAUGAAACGAAAAGGACCUAGAAACGAAAAGGACCUAGAAAAGAAAAGGCAAGAGUUGCAGUUUGUUGUGAAGGAAACAAAUUGUGGAUGAAAAGAGAGAAGGUUUUAAUGUAAGCUAAAGUUAGAAAAGUGGGUUUCUUGAUGAGUUUGACUUAAUAAAAUAUUUCAGUCAUUUAAUUGCAUUUCAUAAGUGAAGUAACAGUCAAUAGUAACCUGCAUAUUCAUGUCGUGGGCAGAUAUGAGUAACUUUUCCCAAACUUUUCGUUUAUCCGUCAUUUCCCCAAGCCACAGGGUAGGGUAAGUGUGGAUUUCCCUUUAACUAUAGUACUUGACCCAACAUUAUUUAAGCUCGAAAGUCUUAAGUCUUUUUUUAACGUGUGUGACUGUGUAAUCUAAUAAUUUAUUUAAUAGAACUGAUGGUUUUUAGAGUAUUUAAUUAUAGGUCAGAAGCUUAAAUUCGCAUUGAUUCCAUGUUAAAAUGAUUAAUUUUUUCCCUUCAUAUUUUGUCAGGGUAAUACUUGAAAGACGACAUUUGUCCAUGAGAUUCCUAAAAACGUAACUUUUGCGCAAUAAAAUUAAAACGGAUGGCGGAAGCUUUAGAAAUCUCGGAUCGGCUUCAUUCAAAAACGAAAAUCAAAAGGAAAGAUUUAAGUUUAAUUACCUCACUUGUAGUUUCAAAAAUGACUUCGUGAAGAAGGAGAAAAUGACUGAAAACAGCAAGCUACGAACACUGUCCAGAAAAUAGACCUCUGCACGAACAACUUCUGUUUUGCCACGAUUUGAGAUCCUUAAAGCACCCCAAUUGUGAUGCCUCUAAUCAGUCCACACUUAGAAAUGUUCUAGGAGUUCAUAGGAUUUGGAAUCACCAAAUGUCGUUUAGAAAUGAGAGAGAUAAUGAAGAAACAUGAAUGCUAGUUCAUGAUGAUUCAUUCUACCAAAUAAAGCCACCAUUAUCUUUUCAAUAAUGGCACCAAACAUUAUCAUGUGCUAG